CGUAGGGUGCGAGCGUUAAUCGGAAUUACUGGGCGUAAAGCGUGCGCAGGCGGUUUGUUAAGAUAGGCGUGAAAUCCCCGGGCUCAACCUGGGAACUGCGCUUAUGACUGGCAAGCUAGAGUACGGCAGAGGGGGGUGGAAUUCCACGUGUAGCAGUGAAAUGCGUAGAGAUGUGGAGGAACACCAAUGGCGAAGGCAGCCCCCUGGGUCGAUACUGACGCUCAUGCACGAAAGCGUGGGUAGCAAACAGGAUUAGAUACCCUGGUAGUCCACGCCCUAAACGAUGUCAACUAGGUGUUGGGAGGGUAAGACCUUUUAGUACCGGAGCUAACGCGUGAAGUUGACCGCCUGGGGAGUACGGCCGCAAGGUUA
rnacentral:rRNA from 1 species